rnacentral:tRNA from 1 species
GCCCUCGUAGCGCAAUUGGACAGCGCAUCGGACUUCUAAUCCGGCGGUUGUGAGUUCGAGUCUCACCGGGGGCGCUA